UCAAGCUACUAAGGGCAUACGGCGGAUGCCUAGGCGCCAUCAGCCGAUGAAGGACGCGGUAAGCUGCGAAAAGCUACGGGGAACUGCAAGCAAGUAUUGAUCCGUAGAUGUCCGAAUGGGGAAACCCACCUGCCGUCAUGGGCAGGUAUCCGAAAGGAAGGGAACCCGGGGAACUGAAACAUCUAAGUACCCGGAGGAAGAGAAAUCAAACGAGAUGCCCACAGUAGCGGCGAGCGAAGAGGGCAGAGGGCAAACCGGUGAGCUACGGCUCGCCGGGGUUGAGGACUGCAUUUAGUCUCAAUGGUCUAUCCGAACUACCUGGAAAGGUAGGCAAUACAGUGUAAAAGCCACGUAGGUUAAAGACCGGAGAGAUGAGCAGUAUCCAGAGUACCACGAGGCACGAGGAAUCUUGUGGGAAGCCGGGGGGACCACCCUCCAACCCUAAACACUGAAUGGCGACCGAUAGCGCAUAGUACCGUGAGGGAAAGGUGAAAAGAACCCCGGGAGGGGAGUGAAAGAGAACCUGAAACCGUAUGUCUACAAGCAGUCGGAGCGAAAGCGACGGCGUGCCUAUUGAAGAAUGAACCAACGAGUUACGUGCACUAGCGAGGUUAAGUGGAAGACACGGAGCCGAAGCGAAAGCGAGUCUUAAGAGGGCGGAUAGUUAGUGUACGUAGACCCGAAACCGCAGUGAUCUACCCAUGUCCAGGUUGAAGCGCAGGUAAAAUUGCGUGGAGGACCGAACCUGUGAGCGUUGAAAAGCUUUAGGAUGAGAUGUGGGUAGAGGUGAAAUUCCAAUCGAACGCGGAGAUAGCUGGUUCUCCCCGAAAUAGCUUUAGGGCUAGCCUCAAGUAGUAAGUAUAGGCGGUAGAGCACUGAUCGGGCUAGGGGCCAUAAAGGUUACCGAACCCUGUCAAACUCCGAAUGGUUAUACUGUAGAGCUUGGGAGUCAGACUACGAGUGAUAAGAUCCGUGGUCAAAAGGGAAACAGCCCAGACCACCAGCUAAGGUCCCCAAUGUCGUACUAAGUGGAAAAGGAUGUGGGGUCUCUAAAACAACCAGGAUGUUGGCUUAGAAGCAGCCACCAUUUAAAGAGUGCGUAAUAGCUCACUGGUCGAGAGACCCUGCGCCGAAGAUUACCGGGGCUAAAGUACGAAACCGAAGCUGUGGCUACGACAUAUGUCGUGGGGUAGGGGAGCGUUCUGUGAGGGCUGAAGUCGUUCUGUAAGGAACGGUGGACUUCACAGAAGUGAGAAUGUUGGUAUGAGUAGCGAAAAGAAUGGUGAGAAUCCAUUCCACCGAAAGCAUAAGGAUUCCUGGGCAACGAUCGUCGUCCCAGGGUAAGUCGGGACCUAAUCCGAGGCAUGGAGCGUAGGAGAUGGACAACUGGCAGAUAUUCCAGUACCGGUAAUGAUUGUUUGAGCGAUGGAGUGACACAGGAGGGCAGGCAGGCAGGAGAUUGGUUGUUCCUGUACAAGCGUGUAGGAUGGGACGCAGGCAAAUCCGCGUCCUGUGAGUCUGAGGCGUGAUGUGGAGGUUCCGGAAACGGAACUGAAGCUGCUGACCCCACACUGUCGAGAAAAGCUUCUAGUUAGAGAAUUACCGCCCGUACCGUAAACCGACACAGGUAUGCGGGGAGAGAAUCCUAAGGUGCGCGGGAGAACCCUCGUUAAGGAACUCGGCAAAAUGUACCCGUAACUUCGGGAUAAGGGUAGCCGCUGUUGUGAAGUCUGAACAGACGGAGCAUGAGGCGGUCGCAGAGAAGAGGCCCAAGCGACUGUUUACCACAAACACAGGUGCCUGCUAAAGAGAAAUCUGACGUAUAGGUGCUGACACCUGCCCAGUGCCGGAAGGUUAAGGAAGGAUGUCCGGAGCAAUCCAAAGCAUUCGACCGAAGCCCCGGUGAACGGCGGCCGUAACUAUAACGGUCCUAAGGUAGCGAAAUUCCUUGUCGGGUAAGUUCCGACCCGCACGAAAGGUGUAACGAUUUGGGCACUGUCUCAACGAGGGACCCGGUGAAAUUGAAGUACCUGUGAAGAUGCAGGUUACCCGCGACUGGACAGAAAGACCCCAUGGAGCUUUACUGUAACCUGACAUUGGGUUCUGAUACAUCACGUACAGGAUAGGUGGGAGGCAUGGAAGCGAGGACGCUAGUCUUCGUGGAGCCGCCGUUGGGAUACCACCCUUGAUGUAUCGGAAUUCUAACCGUAGGAGUAACGAAACUCGGGACAGUGUCAGGCGGGCAGUUUGACUGGGGCGGUCGCC
rnacentral:rRNA from 1 species